rnacentral:rRNA from 1 species
CGAAAGCCUGACGGAGCAAUACCGCGUGAGGGAGGAAGGCUCUUGGGUCGUAAACCUCUUUUCUCAGGGAAGAACACAAUGACGGUACCUGAGGAAUAAGCAUCGGCUAACUCCGUGCCAGCAGCCGCGGUAAUACGGAGGAUGCAAGCGUUAUCCGGAAUGAUUGGGCGUAAAGCGUCCGCAGGUGGCUAUGUAAGUCUGCUGUUAAAGAGUCUAGCUCAACUAGAUAAAAGCAGUGGAAACUACAAGGCUAGAGUGCGUUCGGGGCAGAGGGAAUUCCUGGUGUAGCGGUGAAAUGCGUAGAGAUCAGGAAGAACACCGGUGGCGAAGGCGCUCUGCUAGGCCGCAACUGACACUGAGGGACGAAAGCUAGG